AAGAAAGCUAUGAGACAUUUGAAGAGGAGUUAGGGCCAUCAACAGCAGAUCCUCCUCCACAGAAGCCUGUUCGACAGAUCCGCAGACCAGAAAUGUACGCUCCGAGGAAAAUCAGAGAGGCAAAGGCUCCAUUUCCACAACAACCAAGAUCAGAACCCAAGAUUUUACCGAGGGAACCCAGCGUCCCCAGAACAACAACUUUGCACAAACCCUUGUCCGUCCAAAACUUGACACAUAUUGAAGCCCCCUGGGAGAAUGUCACCCUCAACCGCUGUCUGUUUGUGGUCAUUUCCAUCCUGGUGCUCACCUCCGGCUUU